GGCUGUCCUCAUGACCCGAUAAAGUGACACAGGAAAAUGUGUCUUGAAUCUUGUCCUUCAGUAAUUGUCUUCAGCAUCAUGUUGAAGGAGGUCAUUGCGGAUCCUGUCCCUCUGUUCCUGUCUACUUCUCUGAGACACCUUUAGGCAGGUCCAGAAUCUCCGUUCUCACUUCAGCAACUCCUGCAUUUAAACACAGCUGUCAUCUGCCAAGAGGGCCUAAGUUAGAGGAGUCAUCUCCCCGUCCAUGCUGGGAUUUUCGCUGGUCUGAUCUUGUGAAAGUCUUCCCAGGUAACCACGGCUGCGGUGAGUUCCUGAGUGCAGCAGCCUCGUCACGUCCACAGGACGGCAUUUCACCGAGCGCCUCCGCAUCCUCCAGCUCUUCUGCUUUCCCCACCUCCUCUCUGUGCCGUUCCCCAGCCUUGGCACAGGUGGGAGGAUUGAGGAAAAUGUUCCAUUUAGGGCUGAGCACUCAUAAUCCUUUAUUCUCAAGCACUUUGACCAAAACCUACUCAGUUUGCUAUCUAUAUGAAGUUUAGCAUUUUAUCCUUAGCUUUUUUUUUUCUUUUUAGCAUUAUCUGAUAAUGUAUGCACAAACAUGUUUAUUAUGAGAGAUUCUAGGCUAGAAAGUCAUAAAUGUUAAAUCAAUCACAGAAAUUAUAAAUAAUCAUUUAUAAGAUGAAAUGUAUUACAUAGGUAUCAAUAUAUAAAUUAUAGAUGUAUCUGAUACAUGUAAAGAAAUUCUAUUCUUAUUAAAUGACAAAUGGACAAUUUGGAAA